rnacentral:rRNA from 1 species
UACGUCGGGGGCAAGCGUUGUCCGGAUUUAUUGGGCGUAAAGAGCGUGUAGGCGGCCAAACAGGUCAGCUGUGAAAACUCGAGGCUCAACCUCGAGACGUCGGUUGAAACCAUCUGGCUAGAGUCCGGAAGAGGAGUGUGGAAUUCCCGGUGUAGCGGUGAAAUGCGCAGAUAUCGGGAGGAACACCGGUGGCGAAGGCGGUUCUCUGGGCCUGUUCUGACGCUGAGGAGCGAAAGCGUGGGGAGCGAACAGG